UACAGAGGUCUCAAGCGUUGUUCGGAUUCAUUGGGCGUAAAGGGUGCGUAGGCGGCGCGGUAAGUCGGGUGUGAAAUCUUGGAGCUUAACUCCGAAGCUGCAUUCGAUACUGCCGUGCUUGAGGACUGGAGAGGAGACUGGAAUUUACGGUGUAGCGGUGAAAUGCGUAGAUAUCGUAAGGAAGACCAGUGGCGAAGGCGGGGUCUCUGGACAGUUCCUGACGCUGAGGCACGAAGGCCAGGGGGAGCAAACGGG
rnacentral:rRNA from 1 species